rnacentral:rRNA from 1 species
GACGAACGCUGGCGGCGUGCUUAACACAUGCAAGUCGAACGGAAAGGCCCUGCUUUUGUGGGGUGCUCGAGUGGCGAACGGGUGAGUAACACGUGAGUAACCUGCCCUUGACUUUGGGAUAACUUCAGGAAACUGGGGCUAAUACCGGAUAGGAGCUCCUGCUGCAUGGUGGGGGUUGGAAAGUUUCGGCGGUUGGGGAUGGACUCGCGGCUUAUCAGCUUGUUGGUGGGGUAGUGGCUUACCAAGGCUUUGACGGGUAGCCGGCCUGAGAGGGUGACCGGCCACAUUGGGACUGAGAUACGGCCCAGACUCCUACGGGAGGCUGCAGUGGGGAAUAUUGCACAAUGGGCGGAAGCCUGAUGCAGCGACGCCGCGUGCGGGAUGACGGCCUUCGGGUUGUAAACCGCUUUCGCCUGUGACGAAGCGUGAGUGACGGUAAUGGGUAAAGAAGCACCGGCUAACUACGUGCCAGCAGCCGCGGUGAUACGUAGGGUGUGAGCGUUGUCCGGAUUUAUUGGGCGUAAAGGGCUCGUAGGUGGUUGAUCGCGUCGGAAGUGUAAUCUUGGGGCUUAACCCUGAGCGUGCUUUCGAUACGGGUUGACUUGAGGAAGGUAGGGGAGAAUGGAAUUCCUGGUGGAGCGGUGGAAUGCGCAGAUAUCAGGAGGAACACCAGUGGCGAAGGCGGUUCUCUGGGCCUUUCCUGACGCUGAGGAGCGAAAGCGUGGGGAGCGAACAGGCUUAGAUACCCUGGUAGUCCACGCUGUAAACGGUGGGUACUAGGUGUGGGGUCCAUUCCACGGGUUCCGUGCCGUAGCUAACGCUUUAAGUACCCCGCCUGGGGAGUACGGCCGCAAGGCUAAAACUCAAAGGAAUUGACGGGGCCCCGCACAAGCGGCGGAGCAUGCGGAUUAAUUCGAUGCAACGCGUAGAACCUUACCUGGGUUUGACAUGGAUCGGGAGUGCUCAGAGAUGGGUGUGCCUCUUUUGGGGUCGGUUCACAGGUGGUGCAUGGCUGUCGUCAGCUCGUGUCGUGAGAUGUUGGGUUAAGUCCCGCAACGAGCGCAACCCUUGUUCACUGUUGCCAGCACGUUAUGGUGGGGACUCAGUGGAGACCGCCGGGGUCAACUCGGAGGAAGGUGGGGAUGACGUCAAGUCAUCAUGCCCCUUAUGUCCAGGGCUUCACGCAUGCUACAAUGGCUGGUACAGAGAGUGGCGAGCCUGUGAGGGUGAGCGAAUCUCGGAAAGCCGGUCUCAGUUCGGAUUGGGGUCUGCAACUCGACCUCAUGAAGUCGGAGUCGCUAGUAAUCGCAGAUCAGCAACGCUGCGGUGAAUACGUUCCCGGG